rnacentral:rRNA from 1 species
AUACGUAGGUGACAAGCGUUAUCCGGAUUUACUGGGCGUAAAGGGCGUGUAGGCGGUCUUGCAAGUCAGAAGUGAAAUUCCUGAGCUCAACUCGGGCGCUGCUUCUGAAACUGCAGGACUUGAGUGCUGGAGGGGAUAGCGGAAUUCCUAGUGGAGCGGUAAAAUGCGCAGAUAUUACUCAGAACACCGAUUGCGAAGGCAUCUCACGAAUCCGUCAUUGACGCUGAGGCACGAAAGCGUGGGGAUCAAACAGGAUUAGAUACCCUGGUAGUCCACGCAGUAAACGAUGAUGACUAACCGUCGGCGAUACACAGUCGGUGGCCAAGCGAAAGCGAUAAGUAAUCCACCUGGGGAGUACGUUCGCAAGAAUGAAACUCAAAGGAAUUGACGGGG